CCUUAGAGUUUGAUCCUGGCUCAGGAUGAACGCUGGCGGCGUGCUUAACACAUGCAAGUCGAACGGGGGUUACUUUGUGGAGAUCUUCGGAUCAAAGCGAUUUAACUCGAGUGGCGGACGGGUGAGUAACACGUGAGUAACCUGCCUUUCGCUGGGGAAUAACUGUGGGAAACCAUGGCUAAUACCGCAUGUUGUGCAUGACAGGCAUCUGUUGUGUAUGAAAGGAGUAAUCCGGCAGAAGAUGGGCUCGCGUCUGAUUAGCUGGUUGGUGGGGUAACGGCCCACCAAGGCGACGAUCAGUAGCCGAGCUGAGAGGCUGAACGGCCACACUGGGACUGAGACACGGCCCACACUCCUACGGGAGGCAGCAGUGGGGAAUAUUGGGCAAUGGGGGAAACCCUGACCCAGCAACGCCGCGUGAAGGAAGAAGGUUUUCGGAUUGUAAACUUCUGUCCUCAGGGACGAAACAAAUGACGGUACCUGAGGAGGAAGCCCCGGCUAACUACGUGCCAGCAGCCGCGGUAAUACGUAGGGGGCGAGCGUUGUCCGGAAUUACUGGGCGUAAAGGGAGCGCAGGCGGUCUUUUAAGUAGGAUGUGAAAUACCCGGGCUUAACCUGGGGGGUGCAUCCUAAACUGGGGGACUUGAGUGUGGGAGAGGAAAGUGGAAUUCCUAGUGUAGCGGUGAAAUGCGUAGAUAUUAGGAGGAACACCAGUGGCGAAGGCGACUUUCCGGACCACAACUGACGCUGAGGCUCGAAAGCGUGGGGAGCAAACAGGUUUAGAUACCCUGGUAGUCCGCACAGUAAACGAUGUGCACUAGGUGUCGGGCAGUCAAUGUUCGGUACCGCAGCAAACGCGUUAAGUGCCCCCCCCGGGGAGAUUCCCGCCAGGGGGAAACUCAAAGGAAUGGACGGGGGCCUGCACAAGCGGUGGAGCAUGUGGUUUAAUUCGAUGAUACGCGAGAAACCUUACCAGGGACUUGACAUGGACAGGAAUGGUCGUGAAAGCGAUCAGCUUUUCGGAGUCUGUUCACAGGUGCUGCAUGGCUGUCGUCAGCUCGUGCUGUGAAGUGUUGGGUUAAGUCCCGCAACGAGCGCAACCCCUGCUGUCUGUUGCUACCAAGUAAAGUUGGGCACUCAGACGGGACCGCCGGUGACAAACCGGAGGAAGGUGGGGACGACGUCAAGUCAUCAUGGCCCUUAUGUCCUGGGCUACACACGUGCUACAAUGGCCGGUACAGAGCGCAGCGAAGCCGAGAGGCCAAGCGAAUCGCAAAAAGCCGGUCCCAGUACGGAUUGGAGUCUGCAACUCGACUCCAUGAAGUUGGAAUCGCUAGUAAUCGCGCAUCAGCAUGGCGCGAUGAAUCCGUUCCCAGGCCUUGUACACACCGCCCGUCA
rnacentral:rRNA from 1 species